ACAGGGGAAUGCUGGGAUGGACGGUAGCCCUUUGAUAAGAGGGUUUCUAGACAAACCAGCUUCCGGCUGUGGUGAGUGUCUGGGACUUAGGCCCUGGGCCGACUGCCUUUCUUCGCAUUCACCGCCUGGGGGCGCUGUGGCCUAAAGUUCCGUUAGGGUCAAGGCAGGGUUGAGAUCUCAGUUAAGGGAUACACUGGACUUGGGAGCGUCCCUUGGCCUCAGUGUGGGUGGGUGCAGAACCUUUGCUGUGGAUAGUGGCUUUGUCAUCCUUCCAGUGAAAGCUUUGGGAGAUCCAGCCUUUCCUAAACUCCUGGCUUUCUUGGAAGGCUUUCUAAGCUCAUGACUUCAGUUGUGAGGCUUCCUGUCGCCUUGUGUCUCACCCUACCAUUUGUGAAAAUCGUUUGUUGGUGACCUGAACUGGGAUACGGCAGAAAGGACCUAGAAGACUCUUUUACUAAAUUUGGAGAGGUCGUUGACCACCCCUCAGAAUGAAUCUCAACACUAGAAGACCAAGAGGUGUUUAAAGAUGCAGCCGGUGUGGAGAAGACUCAACAGGAAGCACAGAGCCAGCAUCUGCUUCUGGUGAAGCUUCAUGAAGCUCACAAUUAUGGUGAAAGAUUAAAAAAGGAUCAGAUUGAGACCGUUGAACUUUCAGUGGAUCCAAAGUCUAACAAAAGACAAGGUUCUGCGUUCAUCACCUGUAAAGAAGAGGACCCUGUUGGGCACCAACUGGAGAAGUUCAGCAUCACCAGUGAAAGCAAGAUAUGGAUGGUGGUAACUUCUUUAGACGUGUCUUCAAGAUGGCUGUCAAUGCUGCCGGCCGUAGAAAAGAUGCCAAAAUGUUGGCCUGUCAUACAAUCGUAUUUUCAAAAUAUGGAACAAGAAGAAUGUCCUUCUUUAACUUGGAAAUAUUUUGAGGAUAAGAAUGGAGAAAGGGAUUACAGUAAAACAGAAAGGUAUAUGCUGUUUCCCCAAAACAGUUUGAUGAUCUUUGAAGAGAUAAGAAGAAGCCUGGAAAAGGAUGGCCUGACUGCACCUGAGCUGUUCGAUGUUAUAUGUCAAACAGCAUAUAGCAAUAAAGAAGCACAUCUAUCCUAGCACAGAUUUGUUUACUAAUUUGAUAACUGCAUUUCAAUAAAAUAGGCUGCCUUUGUA